GUAUCUUUGCUUGUCUCUACACCAUCGUUCUCCAUACUUGCCAGAAUCCAAUCAUCUUGCUAAGCCACUGGUGAAUGGCAAAGAAAAGUAAGAAGCGAGCUAUAAAACAAGCGAGAGAUAAAGGUGAUAGUGGUAGUCAAUCACAAGUUGCACCUUCAUCAUCUGAGUCUCCAACUAAUGAAGCACUUGUUUCUUUUAAUAGUGUGAUUAAUGGGGGCAGCGAAGGAUCUACUGUACAAAAGAAAAGAGGUCGGGGAAAGGC